ACUACAUGAAGCUGGAAUCGCUAGUAAUCGCAGGUCAGCAUACUGCGGUGAAUACGUUCCCGGGUCUUGUACACACCGCCCGUCACACCAUGGGAGCCGGAAAUGCCCGAAGCCAGUGACCCAACCUUAGGGAGGGAGCUGCCGAAGGUGGAGCCGGUAACUGGGGUGAAGUCGUAACAAGGUAGC
rnacentral:rRNA from 1 species